rnacentral:rRNA from 1 species
UUGACCUCAGAUCAGGUAGGAAUACCCGCUGAACUUAAGCAUAUCAAUAAGCGGAGGAAAAGAAACCAACAGGGAUUGCCCUAGUAACGGCGAGUGAAGCGGCAACAGCUCAAAUUUGAAAUCUGGCGCAAGCCCGAGUUGUAAUUUGUAGAGGAUGUUUCUGGCGACGUGCCUUCCGAGUUCCCUGGAACGGGACGCCAUAGAGGGUGAGAGCCCCGUACGGUUGGAUGCCUAGCCUCUGUGAAACUCCUUCGACGAGUCGAGUAGUUUGGGAAUGCUGCUCUAAAUGGGAGGUAUACGUCUUCUAAAGCUAAAUACCGGCCAGAGACCGAUAGCGCACAAGUAGAGUGAUCGAAAGAUGAAAAGCACUUUGAAAAGAGGGUUAAAAAGUACGUGAAAUUGUUGAAAGGGAAGCGUUCAUGACCAGACUUGGGCAGGUUGAUCAUCCGUGGUUCUCCGCGGUGCACUCUGCCUGCCCAGGCCAGCAUCAGUUCGUCUCGGGGGAUAAAGGCUCUGGGAAUGUGGCUCCUUCGGGAGUGUUAUAGCCCACUGCGUAAUACCCUGGGAUGGACUG